CGCCCUAACUUUAUGUGAAGUUCCCAAGACCCAUACUGCUCUCCUCAGGGAAUGCUCUGACCAGGAGUUAACUUCUACUCACACACAGGGUAGCCCCCCGCCCUAACUUUAUGUGAAGUUCCCAAGACCCAUACUGCUCUCCUCAGGGAAUGCUCUGACCAGGAGUUAACUUCUACUCACACACAGG